GCGGCAAUAGCUCAGCUGGAUAGAGCAACGGUCUUCUAAACCGUAGGUCGAGGGUUCGAACCUCUCUUGCCGCAC
rnacentral:tRNA from 1 species